rnacentral:rRNA from 1 species
AUGAUGACCAUGGAUCUGAUUGGAGGAUACGGGAGGGCGGACGAGCAGGUGGCCAUCCAGGAGGCGGCGGCGGCGGGGCUGCGCGGGAUGGAGCACCUCAUCCUGCAGCUCUCCCGGACAGGCACCAGCGAGAGCUCGCCGGUUGGGUCGUCGGAGGCGCCGGAGCAGCAGGUGGACUGCCGGGAGAUCACUGAUAUGACAGUGUCCAAGUUCAAGAAGGUGAUUUCUAUCCUCAACCACCGCACUGGCCACGCCAGGUUCCGGCGCGGGCCUGUGGUGGCGCAGUCCCAGGGCCCCGCCGUGUCCGAGCCGGCGCCGGUGAGGGCGUCUUCGUCGAGGUCCGUGACCUUGGACUUCACCAAGGCGUCUUCUGGGUACGGAAACGACGCUGGCUUCAGCGUCUCGGCCGCGAGCUCAUCCUUCAUGUCGUCGGUGACCGGUGACGGGAGCGUGUCCAACGGACGCGGGGGCGGGUCCUCGCUGAUGCUCCCGCCACUACCUUCGGCCAGCUGCGGGAAACCGCCGCUGGCGUCCUCCGCGGCAUCCACCGGCGCGGGUGCCGGGCAGAAACGCAAGUGCCACGACCACGCGCACUCCGAGAACGUCGCCGGCGGAAAGUACGGCGCCUCCGGUGGCCGCUGCCACUGCUCCAAGCGCAGAAUGAAUGAAUGGGACCGGCAGGAAGUCCCGGGUUCGGCGGAUGACUCGCGUGCCGGCGAUCAGCUCGAAGGCAGCGGAGAUCCCCGCGGACGACUUCUCGUGGCGCAAGUACGGGCAGAAGCCUAUCAAGGGCUCCCCCUACCCACGAGGUUACUACAAGUGCAGCACGGUGCGCGGGUGCCCGGCGCGGAAGCACGUGGAGCGCGACCCCAGCGACCCCUCCAUGCUCAUCGUGACCUACGAAGGCGAGCACCGGCACACCCCCGCGGACCAGGAGCCGCUCGCCCCGCUACCGGAGCUCUGAAAUCUCUUUGCCAUUACCGUCGUCCUCACAUGUUAAUUCAACUUAGCUUGUCGCCAUGUUCCCUUCGUUACUGCUAG